GCUGGGCAUGGUGGUGCAUGCCUGUAAUCCCAGCGGCUCAGGAGUUGAGGCAGGAGGAUUGCAAGUUCAAAGCCAGCCUCUG
rnacentral:sRNA from 1 species